rnacentral:lncRNA from 1 species
UGCACUAUGCUCUUACUAUUACUUCUGUUGUUUCCACUCUGAGUUAUCAUAUUUCCUUACCACUCAUGAUUCAUCAUUGUUGCUUCUUACAUAUGAUAGCAAAGUAGUUUUCCUACCCAUAAGAUAAAAGCUACAAGAAAAAGAAAAAGAAAACACCAAUCGUGCUUUGUACUUUGUACUUGUAGGCAACGCUCAGUGCGUAGUUAUAAUGAACCUGAUAACAACUAUUACCGACUAAAAUGGCUCCUGCACGUUUUUUCCCUGAAAGUGAAUGAUUUAGAGAUAAAUUUAUCGAAAAAGAAGUUUAAAACUAGUACUGCGGCAAGUAGAGAAAAAAAUGUACUGAGAGAAUGCAUGUAACACUUUCAAAAGUAAACUACAGCAUGUCAGCACAGCAUCGUCAGAAGCCAAAAAAAGGAAAGUACUAUUGCCUCAGGUCAACUUCGAAGAAGCAUUUCAACAAGCACCUGCUCGGCAUAGACAGGUGAGAGCUGUAUUUAUGCAACAAAAUUCUGAAUUGAACUCUUACAAUAUGGUCUCGUUAUAUUUUAAAAGGCAUAAAAGGAUAAGUUUCAAAUCUCCAGCAACUCACAAAAUAUAAUAUAAGUACUUACAUCCAUUAAGAUCUUUGAAGGCUUUCGAAGGAUGCUGGUAGGCAGACAUUGAUUUUCGUCAAUGACUAGUCAAGAAAAGAUUUGCCUUUUAAAUUCUUGUAAGAGGGUUAAAAAAC